GAUGAACGCUAGCGGCAGGCUUAAUACAUGCAAGUCGGAGGGGGAUUAACUGGGUAGCAAUACUCGGUUAUGAGACCGGCAAACGGGUGCGGAACACGUACGCAACCUUCCCAAAACUGGUGAAUAGCCCUCCGAAAGGAGGAUUAAUACACCGUAACUUAAUGAAGUGGCAUCACUUUAUUAAUAUAGCUCCGGCGGUU
rnacentral:rRNA from 1 species